GUGAGUCAUCGAAUCUUUGAACGCACCUUGCGCUCCUUGGUAUUCCGAGGAGCAUGCCUGUUUGAGUGUCAUUAAAUUCUCAACCUCACCCGUUUUCUGAACGGUACCCGAGGCUUGGAUGUGGGGGUUUGUGCAGGCUGCCUCAGCGCUGGUCUGCUCCCCUGAAAUGCAUUAGCGAGUUCAUACUGAACCUCCGUCUAUUGGUGUGAUAAUUAUCUACGCCGUGGACUGGGUUUAGACUCGCUUCUAACCGUCCGCAAGGACAAUACCUUUGACAAUUUGACCUCAAAUCAGGUAGGA
rnacentral:misc_RNA from 1 species